UCUUCAAUUUUGCAUCUCUUAGAUUCCCGCAGCCAAAAGAGCUCUUAGAUUUAUCAGCUGAGCGUGAAAGCUUUGAAGUUGGAGUUAUUCUAAAGAAAUCCUCAACUGUCUUUGGAUGGUUACAAUCAGGUCUACAGAACCAGGCAUCAUCGUCUAUGAAGUCAUCUCCAGGGUUCAAGAAAUCAACCCAUUUAGGUGCGUUUAUAUUCUCAUAUAAAUUGUCUUCAACAAAUAUAGACUCCACUCUUUUCCAAUCUAUUUUUGCUGGUUCCAUUGUAAAGAGAAGAACUUUACGAGAAAAAACGGAAGACCCAGAAAUCUAAAAUGAGAUUGCAGGGUUUAGAGAGAGAAACAGACUCUGAAACCGAGGGCAAGAUUUACUAGAUACUGUUCAUGUGUCAGAACGUAACGUUUAGUAGAUUGGUGGGAAAGAAUCAGAGAGGAGAAUGACUGAACGUUGGUGGGUCUAACUAGUUUUGUGACCGUUGGGGGAUUUUUGUAAUAAAUUAAUAAUUAGUGUUGGUUUUGUAGUUUAGACUUUAGCUAGGUUGCUUUGGGCAGGUGGAUCCGUCUUGCAAGUAAUGGUUCCACGCGGUAGCACAUAGCUGAUUAUAGUGCACCCAUGAAGGAGUAUGACACGUGGCUUAGAUAUAAGAAAACUGAAGAUCAAGAUUGUAAAUUUCGAUUUACGUUUGAUUCUAGUUGGAUCAAAUUUAACAAUUCAAUUUUUUAAUUAUAAAAAAUUUAAUUUUAAAUCGAAUCAAAAUCAAAGCAAUUUUAUUAUUUUUUUUUUCUAGACUGAACAGAUGGUUUCACUUCCAAACCGGCCUAUAUGUUUUUCUCUGCUAAACAAAAACUUCGAAGGCGAAUGAGGGAAUCACCUUAGUCCUUGACUAACCCACCAGAAAAAAGGUGGCCAUCCCAUAAUUAUAAAUUUUGUGGAGGGUUGAUGUAUGCAGCUUUAUCCCUAUAUUUUGCAGAGAGGCUAUUUCCAUAGAACUAAAUCACCAGAAGAGGUAGAAAAAAGAGUGGUGAAUUUCUUCUGUUUUGAUCUUUUUAAUGUUUUGAUUCCUCGCCAAAUACUUCAUUGUUGCAAACUGUACAUACCUGAUAAAACAAGUUAAAAACAGU
rnacentral:misc_RNA from 1 species